AGCUUUGAGCUAAAUAUAUUAUAAUAUUAGUUAUUUUAUAAAGGUGUCGUAAAACCUUAUUAAAAAUUAUAUUUAGGGGUGAUAGGCUUUUCAAAAACUAAGAUAUCUUGAAUCUAAUUAAAAGUAUUUAGUACAAUUAACACGACUAUUAAGUGAUUAGGCUUUAUAGGAUUAUUAAACCUUAAGAUAUUUUAUUUAUUAUAAUUUAAUAAUUAAGUAUAUAUAUAAAAUAACAUUCAUAUAUUUUUAUUUUAUAAAGAGUAAUUAGAUAGAAAAAAGUUUAUUAUUAAUUGUAAUAAUGUUAAUAUUAGUAUAUAAUUUAUAUUUAUAUGAUGAACUCGGCAAAAAUGCUUCUCAACUGUUUAUCAAAAACAUAACAAUGUGAAAAAAUACAUAGCGAUUUCUGCUCAAUGAUUUAUUAAAUAGCCGCAGUAUACUGACUGUGCAAAGGUAGCAUAAUCAAUUGACUUAUAAUUGAAGUCUAGAAUGAAUGAAAAUAAUGGGAAGCCACUAUAUUUUGUAAAUUUAUAUAAUUUACUAAUGAAGUGAAAAUACUUCUAUAGAUAUAAUAGACGAGAAGACCCUAGAAAUUUUUAGUAAUUAAAAUUAAUAUUUGAGAAAUUUUUUGUUGGGGCGACAAAGUAGCAUAUAAACCUACUUAUUUAUAAACUUGCACUUUAUAUAUUGAUUGAAAAAAUUACUCUAGGGAUAACAGCAUAAUAUUUUUAAAGUUUAUGACCUCGAUGUUGGAUUAGGAAAUAAUAACUUAAAAGGUUUUUUAUAUUGCUCUGUUCGAGCAUCAAACUCCUACAUGAUC
rnacentral:rRNA from 1 species